GGCAGCUCCUCUCGGGUUAAGAUGAAACGGGUGAAACAUGCUGAAAACCAUGGCUGACACAACACCGUCAGCCUAUUAUGACAUCAACACGACAUCUUCAACCCACGAGAGGGUCGAGGGUAUAUCCGUGGCCCCUUUUCUCGUCAAGGGCUUCAUCAUGGGGCUCAUCAUCGUGAUGGCAGUUCUCGGCAACGCGCUGGUCAUCAUUAGCGUCGUCCGCCACAGGAAGCUGAGGAUCAUCACCAACUACUAUGUUGUCUCUUUGGCCCUGGCGGACCUCCUGGUCGCGCUCUGCGCCAUGACGUUCAACGCCAGCGUCGAGCUCACCGGCCACUGGGUCUUCGGCCCGGUCAUGUGCGACGUCUGGAACUCUCUGGACGUGUACUUUUCUACAGCGUCCAUCCUCCACUUAUGCUGCAUAAGUGUAGACCGUUAUUACGCUAUUGUGAGACCCUUGCAGUACCCCAUCACCAUGACGCACAGGACUGUAUCUUUCAUGCUGGCCAACGUCUGGGUUCUACCCGCCCUCAUCUCGUUCACCCCGAUCUUCCUCGGAUGGUACACCACCGCGGAUCACCAGCAGUUCCGAAAGACAAACCCCAACGUCUGUAUUUUCGUUGUGAACAAAUAUUACGCUAUUAUAUCGUCUAGUGUUUCUUUUUGGAUACCUGGAGUCGUUAUGGUCACGAUGUACUUCAGGAUAUAUAAAGAAGCGGUGAGGCAGCGGAAAGCCUUAUCACGUACUUCCAGCAAUAUAAUUUUAAAUAGUAUACACCAGCAUAGAAGAGGACAUCCUCACUACACUCCCAGGCUGCUGCCGCCUGCCGCAGACGGCGAUUUGUCGCCAGCGACGCUGUCCUCGGAUCCAGACAGCAGGAAUUCCUCGGCCGCCAGCAACACGCCACUUCCAGUGAAAAAGUCGCAAAUCAACAGCAACGGUUCGGCGAAGUGGCACGUUGUGCCCGAAGGGCCGGCGGAGCCCACAACGUGCGACUUCGUCGUACACGAACGGGUGCCGAGGAGGGCACAUUUUACAAUCGUCGAGCCUGACACGGAAGCCUUCGAAAAAAGAACGACUGUUCGGACAGCAACCAGCUGGAGGACGGAGCAUAAAGCGGCACGCACGUUAGGCAUAAUCAUGGGCGUUUUUAUGAUAUGCUGGUUACCUUUUUUCCUUUGGUACGUGAUAACGACCUUGUGCGGCGACGCAUGCUACUGUCCUGACAUGGUGGUCACCGUGCUCUUUUGGAUCGGUUAUUUCAACUCGGCCCUCAACCCGCUCAUCUACGCCUACUUCAACCGGGACUUCAGAGAGGCGUUCAAGAACACGUUGCAGUGCGCCUUCCCCUGCUGCUUCACCUGCUGCCCCAAGCAAGACUCGCCCGUGCAGUAUGUCUAGAACAAGCACACCCCAUCACCUUUGUGUUGCCUCCCUUUGCACUUAGAGGUACGUCAGAGCGGGUUGCAUGGCACCGAUACAUGGAGAGAAGGACAAAUUAUCGGGGUUUAAUUAGGAAAGAGAAGAGAUGACUGUAUAACAGGGUUUAGUGAGCACUGAGGCACGCAAUUGUGCUGUCGUUAUCCAAGCACACAUCAGAGCACAAAACCGGCCUGGUGUUAUCUAUAAAACGCGGCGGAUUUUAUGUGAUAAGACGGUUAGGCGAUGAUUAUUGGAUUGUUACAAAUAAAAUUAGAAUGAAAAAUCUUUUACCAAAAAAAGCAAUAAAUUGUUUUUAGAUACUUCAUAUUAUUGUAUAAUUUGUAUUGUUACAAAUCCUCUCAAGAUUUUGCUGUUUAUGUAAUGUACAAAAUCAACGUUUACCUCGUGUACUUGGGUAUAUUUUUUUAGAAACCGAUAAAAAAAAUCUUUAAAAAUUUGUUGAGGCAUGAGAUGUUAUAUAUAUAAUGUAAAUAAAUGGAUAUUUUAACAAUAUAGAUAGAUUGAGUGUUAAAUGUAAGUUUAGAGUGUAAACUAAAGACUGCUUAAAAUGGUGCAGUUUUCGGACAAAGGAACGACCUUAAACAUAAUUAGUUAUUUUUACUAUAUACCGUUGAUAUAAAUAUCAUGCUUUGCAAAAAGCUCGUCCUUUGUCCGAAAGUCGUUACGGGUAUUUAUAAUAAUUGUUGUUUCGCUGUAUAAAGAAUGUAUAUAAAAAAUAUAUAUCUAUGAUGUUUUGAACAUUUUUUGUGAUGAAUGGCAACCUUCUACAAUGACAAUUUAAGUUAAGUAAACGUUUAUCAGUUGUUUUAUUGUAAAUAGUUAAUGGCAAAUGACCGCGGUGAGUCCGCGGUAAUUUGUCUGGACAAAGCUAAUUCUAAAAAUUAUUAAAAACAUGUUAAAAGCAAGGCAAAGGUGAGGAUUAAUUAAAAAUGAAAUAAUAAAACUGUUAGGGGUAUACCUUCCUAUUCAUAUCACAGCCUCUCGCUCUUAUGAAUGUGUAUUGAAUGGACAAUGUGAUUAACUAUGAUUUAUGUAUGGACAUGACGCUGUGUUUACUUUGUAUAGUGGAACUGCCCUUAAUUUGGUAUAAAUCAAAUUAAAAAAAUAACGGCUUUGAUAUUUAUACGGGAUUAAGAACGAAGGACGUUAAUUUUAGAGUAGGAACUUUCAACUUUUGACAAUUUUAAUAAAAUCGUCGUUUAUAAAAUAUAAAAUAAUAUGAAUUUCAAAAUAUACCCCGCUUUCGAAAACGAAAUGCCAAGAAUUCUCAAAUUUACAAAUUAGGAUUAACAAGAACUAAAAAUUCGCCGAACUUAAAAACUAACUAGAUUACAAACUAUUUAAUGAGCAAUAUAUAUUUCAAUCUUACAAAUCAAUAACAUCAACUUAAAAUUAAUUAUUUAUAUUUAGUAUAUUUAAUUAAAACUUACGAAUUUCCUGAAAGAGUAGGGUAUACUGUUUUAAUGUUUAAACUAUUUCCACUCAUUGCAAGUAAAAACGUAAGUAAUAAUAAAUUAUGCUUUCAUAACAUUUAAGCAAUUGUCCAUGGUGGUUGAUUGUACUUUUAUUUAUAUACACACUCAUUAUCACUAGAAUGUGCUUUACAGAAAAUUAUAAGCUGAAACUCUAUCUUUAAUGUUGGUUACAUUGUCAGCACAUUGUUAAAUAAUUCAACGGACUUUAAUGAAAACAACGUUCUGUAAUAUUUAUUGUUUCUGAGUUGAUAAUGGAUGUUGGUCUGCGAGUCGGUGAACUCAUGCUGAACCGAAAAAUGUUCACUAUUGGAUCCGUCUUAACACCAACGUUUCGGCAUUGCGCCAUCUUCAGUGAGUAUUUACCAUUCUGUCGUUUGUCCCUAGGGGCGUUUGCGUCUAGUGGGCGUGGUCAUGAUGUUCCUUGGUCGGUCGUGUUUUUGGUUAUUAUUUGCGCGGUUUUUUUUGGGGGGGGGAUGUUGUUUUCUUGUGAAGAUUAGUGUUUUUUAUUACGUAAUGUUCUUAGUGGUGGGAAAGUGUGUGAAUGUAAGUAUGUUGUUUAUAAGUUUUUCUAUUUAAGUGUUAUUUGUUUGUAUUUCUAUAGGUUCUUCAGUACGUUGAUUUUCCUGCCCUUUUUGGGCGUCGUGUAUUAAGACAUGCUUGUUUCUAUUCUGUUUGGUACGUGAUUGUGAUGUAUUAAGAGUGGCGGAAUUUGAUUUACCAUCGAUGUCUUUGAAGGAUCUAAGAUGUUCUGUAAAUCGACUCUUAAUUUAUUUCCAUUCUGUACAAUGUAUGUCUCCGAAUUGAUACGUGAUGCUACAAACACCCGUUAAUGUCUAGCGGGUUAGUUGUAUUUAUGUUUCUUUUUAGUAGUUUACCUGAGUCAUAGCUGGUUCUUAAUGCUGUUUUUAGCACGACUAUGUUGAACAAGUUCGUUAGUCUGUUGGUGUCUUUUCCUCCGUAUGCGAAUACUGUCCAUUAGUUGAUUUUUUGUGGGUAUGUAUGUUUUUUUAGUAGUUUCUUGAUGGUGCUUGUUUUGUAUUCGUUUUUAAUUACUAAAUUCGUUAUUGUUUGUAGUUCUUUGUUGUAAUUUUCAUUGUUACGUGGGAUUGCUUAUAGUCUGUUGAUCAUGUGUCAUAAUGCGGCAAUUGUGCUGGUGUGGGUGAUUGGAUUGCACGUUUAUGAUGUUGUUGGUUGCAGUGGGUUUUCUGUAUAUUUGGAAUUCGAUUUUAGUUGGUUCUCUUGAGUGUAAAGUCCAAGAAGUUGACGCAAUUUUUGUUUUCAGUUUCUACGGUGAAUAAUGUUUCUAUGCAUCGCGAUUGGAUCUCUAAGUACGUUUUCUGAAGAGUUGUCUGUUAUAUAAUAUGUCAUUGACGUAUUAAAAUAGAUGGAAUGUUUGGUUUUCAGCCAUUAUUUUUGGGAAAUGGUUCUCUUCAAGGUUUUGGAGAAACACCCCUGCAAGAAUGGCCAACAUUGUUCCUUCAACCCUAGACCGUUAUUUAGUAGUUUGGUGUAGUUUGGGUUAAUGGUUAUUUUUGUAAUUUGUGCUAGUUAUGUAGCCUAUUCGUUUUCGCAAAUUUUGUGAAGUGUGGUUGCCAGUAUGUCGAUAGUAUCUUUGAGAUGGAAGGAUGUAGGUUUGUUAUGUCAAAGCAGACUACAUUGGCAGAUGGGGGAUUGUUAAGUUGUUGAGUUUUCUAUCAGGUCUAUUAACGCAGAAAGCGUUUUUUAAUUUUAAAUUGAAUUUUGGUAUACCUUCAAUAAACUUUGAUUGUUUGAUUGCAGGGGCUGGCCUAUAGAUGGCUAUUGGGAAUAUUAGGUUUUUGUAUUUUUUGGAGUGAAGUAAUGUUUAGAUGUGAUAGUUCCUCAAGGUUAAUUGAUUAACUGAGGGGACAGUUGUUUAUUGUUUUUUUAAUAAAAAUCGUCGAUGUAAUAGGAAUUAUAUUAUGAAGCAUAUUUAAACGUUUAAAUAUGGAUAUACGCUUAUUAUAAAAUACACACGGGUAAGUAUGACUAUAUUCUACACAAAAAAUGCUAUAAAAUUGCUUGACAAUUGAAUAAAAUGUAUUUGAUCAUAUGUAACCAUGGUUCAUAUAGUUUCGGUAAAAUUCAGAAGAUAACAUUAUUAUAUUUAAAUUUUCCGACGGUAAAAUGUGAAAGUCCUUAAUUCACUCACUCUGACAGCACAAUAAUUUUAAAAAAUUUCAAAAAGUGUAUACUCAUAAAAAAAAUUAACGAUAAUAUUCUCCUUGUUGAAAUUUACAUAAAUUUUUAAAUACCAAAGUUGUUAAAUUACUUGAUAUCCGUCUGAUCCAAGAGUAACUUACUCAACCAUGUUUGGCAACUAUUCGGCAUCUUCUACCCUAAGAUUUAAUCAGCGGGGACUGAACUUUCUUAGUUGUCUUCAACAAGUUCCUUCUUUAAAUUUACGUCCUUUUUCAAUUUUGGUUUUUAAUUAAGUAACUUAAGCUUAGGAAUCAAUAAGUGAUGCUUCCGAAUCUUCCAUUAUAGUAAAAGAUUGUUAUUAAAGUGAAAAUUAUCAAAGUAUAUAGUUAAAAAUUAAAACAGCGUCUAAAAGAAUUUUUCAAGGUGAGUCCUAAAUGUGUGUUUUAUGACCUCUGAGAAUGGGAUUUUGUUUGUUGUACAUAAAAAAAGAAUGUUGUGCCCCUAAAAAACCGUUCGAGACAAUCGCAUACUGUAAACGUAGGCUUUUUUAUUUUCAUAUGUGAUCCUCAUUCGUACUCGGAAAAAGGUUAUAAAUUUAGUUUCUUUUAUACAACACAUUGUUAGUCAUGCAAUCCAAAAAAGACACAAUUAUAAAGCAUAUAUUUUGAACAAUAAGUAUUACCAAUAUGUAUACAUAUUGUGUAUGCAUAAAUGUUUGUAAUUAGUUUUCCUUUCGUUCUAUUCAUCGGAUGAUUAUUUAUGAAUGUCUUUCAUAAUUGUACAAACACGAAAAAAAAACGGCAAAAUGCAAUAAAAAAUAAUGUAUCUAUGUUAGACACUAGGAAAAACAAAUAAAACCAUUAAAUACCUUAUUAUU
rnacentral:misc_RNA from 1 species